AUGCUCUGGUUUCUCUUCAGAUCGUAUAAAUCUUUCGCCUUUUACUAAAGAUUUCCGUGGAGAGGAGCAUUACGAGUUUUUAAACUAAUUUUUUGAGGCUCUAUUUCGGUAGAGCU
ensembl:snRNA U5 U5 spliceosomal RNA